UAGAGGCCAGUAGACAAAGACACUCCUUCACCCUAAAGGCACACAAUUUCCCAGAAGCCAGAACAACAGAGGCAGAGGUGUUGAGCUACCAAGUGGAGAAAAGAAGUCAUUUUUGAAGGACCUGUAAUUAUACCAUAAAAAAAAGACUGUACAUUUGGCUAAAAUGGAAUCAGCUGUCCUUAUGAACACUCAAAAUCAUGCCCAAAGCUCCUCACACUUGGCUUGGACAAACAGAUACACAAUGCAGACAAGGGAAGCAUUGUAAAGACUUGCACCCAAUUUGAAAAAUUUUGUUGAGUUUUGAAUUAAUAUAACAGUUUCUUGUCAAAAUCACAUUCUAUAUUACUGAAAUAAUAGGCCUGGCCAGCGAUGGUCAGGGCUGCCACUCAGGGUGCCUCGCCAUAACUGUUAUUUUGUCCUUCAACUGCUGUGCUAAAUCCCCUCACUCACAGAAUUUUCUAAUGAAGAAACAGUAAAUUUUAAAAUUAAAUCAAAUCUAACCUAACUAAUCUCCUAACUUAAGGCUUUGCGUCUUAACCCCCUUGAAAAUUAAGAAAUUUAUAUCAUUGUUAUUUCUAAAUUUUUCAACCUAGUUCAACUGUGAAAAUGUUGAGAUCUAUUCAAUGAAACGGUUAAGGUUUGAUUGUUUCAUGGAUGCUGUAAAGCAGUAUAUAAUACCAUUACUUUUACAUGUGGUAAAGUUAUCCUUUUGUUACAGAGAACCAGCUGUAUCGCAAGAGAAGAAACAAAUGGGUUCAGAUUCCUUCAACACUGGGAGAAGUGAUGGAUAUUCUGCUUUUUUAUCAUGUCACAAGUGGCUGUCAUGCUGGUGUUGAUAAAACCAAGUCCAGGAUUUCUGACCAUUAUUACUGGCUUGGUAUGUCAAGGGACGUCAUUGCAUAUAUAUCAACUUGUACAACUUGCCAGACUUUUGAGGUUGUAAAGACACAAGCUCCCACACUUAAACAAAUUAAGGUGUCUCAACCCAUGGAAGUCGUAGGCAUGGAUCUUAUUGGAAAAGCUAAGGUAGUGUUGCAAGCAGGCAGUGACAAAUACAGUUCGGCGACAUGACAUGCUCAUCUUGUCCAGGACCUCAUCCAGUAUAAUGAAGGGCAAUCAGUUUCUAGUUUAUUAGAAUGCAUAUGAGAUUUUAAGAUGCAUGAUGAACCCUUGCAUGUUUUAUGGUGUCUUAAAAGUUUUAGGUGAACAUCGUGAAAUAUAUUAUAUUUUACCUGUAAAAAUGUAACUCAUUUAUUUACUUUUGCUAAGGUUUCACAUCAGGAAGUAUGGUCCCUCUUCUUACUGUUUCUUAUUAUUGUGUGUACAUAAACACAUUACUUUCUCACACUUAUGUUGGCUAAUAGUUCACUCUAUGAUGGCAUGUUCCCCUGCAAUGACCUCUGUAUCACAUUUACUGCUUUCUCUUACUUAUUUUUGUUAUGUGGUUGCCACUAGCAUUAGGGCCCCCAGUUACUGUUAUUAGGUUAUAAGAAAUAGCAGCUGCACUUAAUUAGCCUAACUGUUACCUUUUUCUGACAAAUUAAAACCUAAA